GACGAACGCUGGCGGCGUGCUUAACACAUGCAAGUCGAACGGAAAGGCCCCUUCGGGGGUGCUCGAGUGGCGAACGGGUGAGUAACACGUGGGUGAUCUGCCCUGCACUUUGGGAUAAGCCUGGGAAACUGGGUCUAAUACCGGAUAGGACUCCGAGAUGCAUGUCUUGGGGUGGAAAGCUUUUGCGGUGUGGGAUGGGCCCGCGGCCUAUCAGCUUGUUGGUGGGGUGAUGGCCUGCCGAGGCGACGGCGGGUAGCCGGCCUGAGAGGGUGUCCGGCCACACGGGGACUGAGAUACGGCCCAGACUCCUACGGGAGGCAGCAGUGGGGAAUAUUGCACAAUGGGCGCAAGCCUGAUGCAGCGACGCCGCGUGAGGGAUGACGGCCUUCGGGUUAUAAACCUCUUCCACUAGGGACGAAGCGCAAGUGACGGUACCUAGAGAAGAAGCACCGGCCAACUACGUGCCAGCCGCCGCCGUAA
rnacentral:rRNA from 1 species